rnacentral:rRNA from 1 species
AACGCGAAGAACCUUACCUACUCUUGACAUCCAGAGAACUUAGCAGAGAUGCUUUGGUGCCUUCGGGAACUCUGAGACAGGUGCUGCAUGGCUGUCGUCAGCUCGUGUUGUGAAAUGUUGGGUUAAGUCCCGCAACGAGCGCAACCCUUAUCCUUUGUUGCCAGCGGUCCGGCCGGGAACUCAAAGGAGACUGCCAGUGAUAAACUGGAGGAAGGUGGGGAUGACGUCAAGUCAUCAUGGCCCUUACGAGUAGGGCUACACAUGUGCUACAAUGGCGCAUACAAAGAGAAGCGACCUCGCGAGAGCAAGCGGACCUCAUAAAGUGCGUCGUAGUCCGGAUUGGAGUCUGCAACUCGACUCCAUGAAGUCGGAAUCGCUAGUAAUCGUGGAUCAGAAUGCCACGGUGAAUACGUUCCCGGGCCUUGUACACACCG